rnacentral:sRNA from 1 species
UGCAAUAGAAUAGGCUCCUCAAGGGUGGUCGGCUCAUCCCCUAAUGAAAGGGGGUGAUGCCAUGACAGUUUAUGAGGCGAUCUCACUGAUGAUUUCUUUUGGUGCACUGGUCGCGUUAAUACUGUCGGGAAAGAAAAAAAGAUAGACCGCCCUUGAGCCCACAACUCAGCGGUUCUAUCCCACAUGCUUGAGCCGGCCCCAGGAGGGGCAGCUAUUGUACAUCGGCCGUAGGUGUUCCCGCACCUGCG